rnacentral:rRNA from 1 species
GACGGAGGGGGCGAGCGUUGUUCGGAAUUAUUGGGCGUAAAGCGCGCGUAGGCGGCUACGGAAGUCCUGAGUGAAAGCCCCUGGCUUAACUGGGGAAGGGCUUGGGAGACUCUGUGGCUUGAGUGCCGGAGGGGGAGGCGGAAUUCCUGGUGGAGCGGUGAAAUGCGUAGAGAUCAGGAAGAACGUCGGUGGCGAAGGCGGCCUCCUGGACGGACACUGACGCUGAGGAGCGACAGCGUGGGGAGCGAACGGG